rnacentral:tRNA from 1 species
AGCUCGUUAGUUUAAUAUUGAUAAAAUUUUUAUUUGUGGAGUAAAGGAUUUUUGAGCUA